UUCAAAAUUCUUGUGGAAACAUUUUUGUUAAUUUUUGGCUAAUAAUCGUAGUUAAGGACUAUUAGUCUUAUUUGUAGCAUCCAAAUACUCAAUAAAAUAAUAAAAGGAGUAAUAUUAGUUAUACUUACAUUGCCUUUGAAACAAUUUUAGAAAUGAGAACUAUUUUGCCCCAAGUCGGAUUGAUUUGGUUAUGAAAACUAUAUCAAAAACUAAGAUUAUCUCAACAUGGAUAUUUGAGAAAUAUUAUACUUCCAAGGCGGAUUUACUUGGUUAUAAAAACUAGGUUUAGGAUUAUCUCUACAUAGGUACUUCAGAUAUUUUCUUCCAUAAAAUAUAAAAUUAUUAUGCUUCCAAGAUGGAUACACUUGGUUGGUUAUUAAAAAUAUAUGAAAAAACUAGAAUUAUCUCUAAAUGGAUAGUUCAGGAGAUAUUUUCUUCCAUAAAUUAUAAAAUUAUUAUGCCUCCAAGGCGGACACACUUGGUUGGUUGUUAAAACUAUAUGAAAAAACUAGAACUAUCUCUAAAUGGAUAGUUUAGAUAUUUUCUUCCACAAAUUAUAAAAUUAUUAUGCUUCCAAGGCGGACACUUGGUUGGUUAUUAAAACUAUAUGAAAAAACUAGAACUAUCUCUAAAUGGAUAGUUCAGAUAUUUUCUUCCAUAAAUUAUAAAAUUAUUAUGCCUCCAAGGCGGACACACUUGGUUGGUUAUUAAAACUACAUGAAAAAACUAGAACUGUCUCUAAACGGAUAUUUCAGAUAUUUUCUUCCAUAAAUUAUAAAAUUAUUAUGCUUCCAAGAUGGAUACACUUGGUUGGUUAUUAAAAAUAUAUGAAAAAACUAGAAUUAUCUCUAAAUGGAUAGUUCAGGAGAUAUUUUCUUCCAUAAAUUAUAAAAUUAUUAUGCUUCCAAGGCGGACACACUUGGUUGGUUAUUAAAACUAUAUGAAAAAACUAUAAUUAUUGUAAUAUAAACAAAAUAAUUAUUGUUCAUUCAGAGGAAUAAAUAAAAACUUGUAGAAGAGGAUCUUUUAGAUUCUUAUGGUUGAAACAUUGCUUUAUACUUUAUAAUAUUCAGAUCAGAUGAUCAUAUUCAGUUGCAAGAAGAUAACACAAUUUUGUUAUUGAGAUAUUAAAAUAUAUAUCAUGAUUUGUUGGAAUUUUUUCUCCAUAAUUGAUACGAAAAACCAUAAUUGAUACGAAAAACCAUAAUUGAUACGAAAAACCAUAAUUGAUACGAUAAAUGAUUGAAUCGCUAAUACUAUGAACAAUGCAUGCCGCCAUUAAUGAUAAGUGAAUAACCCAUAGGUAUAUAUGGGAUUCAAUUAGAAAAUUAGAGUAAAAUGAAGUACUGUAAUAAAAAUUCCUAAAUGAAUAUCAUUCUUAACUAAAUGAAGAAUUCUGAAAUAAAAUAAAUAGUUCUACAUUUAUAUUUUGGAGGUUACACGAUUUAAUUGGAUGGACUUCUAUUGGAACAUUAGUUAAUUUGUUUCAAUUUUAUUUUUGACGUCGAUUAAAAGAUUUUGAAAAAUA